AUGGUACAUCUCGGGUCACCCCAAUUCAAUUGUGAUACCCCAACAUAAGGCAAUAGAAGACACAUCUUCGCGCAUGGCUUUCUGAAACCCGCAUCGCAGACCGAAAGUAAAUAUUACUUACUGCCUUAUUUUCCCACGCUGGUCUCGAACACUGAAUUAUUCGAGCGGUGCGAACGGCGGCAUACACCAGCUGCGGCCCUCCCAAAAAGGACACAAGAAAAUUAUUCCUGCUUCUUAGAACUGAACCAUCCAUACCCACACCAUGUGGCAUCCUUUGGAGCGUCCCUAGGUCCAAUUAUUUUUUGUCUCCUACAUCAUGAGCACAACAAAAGCGGAUCCCGUUAGCCAGUUGUCCCCAUCAACAAGGAUUAAGAUGAUGGGCUUACCGCUACCAAGUGCUCCCAAGGCAGCUUCUGAUGCCUUGGUUGCGGCAUCCUUUGUUGUUUCCAUCCCUGGGUGGGCACUCUUUUUCGCAGUCUCAGCACCCUGCUGCACCGUCUCGGAAAGCGGUUGGGUUGUAGUCUUGGAAUCUC
rnacentral:sRNA from 1 species